CGGACGGGUGAGUAAUGUCUGGGAAACUGCCUGAUGAGGGGGGAUAACUACUGGAAACGGUAGCUAAUACCGCAUAACGUCGCAAGACCAAAGAGGGGGACCUUGGGCCUCUUGCCAUCGGAUGUGCCCAGAUGGGAUUAGCUAGUAGGUGGGGUAAAGGCUCACCUAGGCGACGAUCCCUAGCUGGUCUGAGAGGAUGACCAGCCACACUGGAACUGAGACACGGUCCAG
rnacentral:rRNA from 1 species